UACGUAGGGCGCAAGCGUUGUCCGGAAUUAUUGGGCGUAAAGGGCUCGUAGGCGGUUUGUCGCGUCGGGAGUGAAAACUCAGGGCUUAACCCUGAGCCUGCUUCCGAUACGGGCAGACUAGAGGUAUGCAGGGGAGAACGGAAUUCCUGGUGUAGCGGUGAAAUGCGCAGAUAUCAGGAGGAACACCGGUGGCGAAGGCGGUUCUCUGGGCAUUACCUGACGCUGAGGAGCGAAAGUGUGGGGAGCGAACAGG
rnacentral:rRNA from 1 species